rnacentral:rRNA from 1 species
GAUGAACGCUGGCGGCGUGCCUAAUACAUGCAAGUCGAGCGAACGGACGAGAAGCUUGCUUUUCUGAUGUUAGCGGCGGACGGGUGAGUAACACGUGGAUAACCUACCUAUAAUACUGGGAUAACUUCGGGAAACCGGAGCUAAUACCGGAUAAUAUUUUGAACCGCAUGGUUCAAAAGUGAAAGACGGUCUUGCUGUCACUUAUAGAUGGAUCCGCGCUGCAUUAGCUAGUUGGUAAGGUAACGGCUUACCAAGGCAACGAUGCAUAGCCGACCUGAGAGGGUGAUCGGCCACACUGGAACUGAGACACGGUCCAGACUCCUACGGGAGGCAGCAGUAGGGAAUCUUCCGCAAUGGGCGAAAGCCUGACGGAGCAACGCCGCGUGAGUGAUGGAGGUCUUCGGAUCGUAAAACUCUGUUAUUAGGGAAGAACAUAUGUGUAAGUAACUGUGCACAUCUUGACGGUACCUAAUCAGAAAGCCACGGCUAACUACGUG